GGCUUCGUAGCUCAAUGGAAAAAGAGCGCAGGUCUACGAAACCUGAGGUUGCGGGUUCAAGUCCCGCCGAAGUUACCA
rnacentral:tRNA from 1 species